rnacentral:snoRNA from 1 species
UGUCCCUGACCUGGGUAGAGUGACAUCUGGUUGGUGAUGCCCAUCUCAUAUCAGCCAGGGGCAAGGCAACCCCUUGUUUAUCCCAGCUUGGCUUCUGGUCUGUGCCCAUGCCUGGUUCAUGCCUUGGACACAUGG